GAUGAACGCUGGCGGCGUGCCUAAUACAUGCAAGUCGAGCGAACAGAUGAGGAGCUUGCUCCUCUGACGUUAGCGGCGGACGGGUGAGUAACACGUGGAUAACCUACCUAUAAGACUGGGAUAACUUCGGGAAACCGGAGCUAAUACCGGAUAAUAUAUUGAACCGCAUGGUUCAAUAGUGAAAGACGGUUUUGCUGUCACUUAUAGAUGGAUCCGCGCCGCAUUAGCUAGUUGGUAAGGUAACGGCUUACCAAGGCAACGAUGCGUAGCCGACCUGAGAGGGUGAUCGGCCACACUGGAACUGAGACACGGUCCAGACCCCUACGGGAGGCAGCAGUAGGGAAUCUUCCGCAAGGGGCGAAAGCCUGACGGAGCAACGCCGCGGGAGUGAUGAAGUUCUUCGGAUCGUAAAACUCUGUUAUUAGGGAAGAACAAAUGUGUAAGUAACUAUGCACGUCUUGACGGUACCUAAUCAGAAAGCCACGGCUAACUACGUG
rnacentral:rRNA from 1 species